AUUGAACGCUGGCGGUAGGCCUAACACAUGCAAGUCGAACGAGUGGCGGACGGGUGAGUAAUGUCUGGGAAACUGCCUGAUGGAGGGGGAUAACUACUGGAAACGGUAGCUAAUACCGCAUACCAUCAGAUGUGCCCAGAUGGGAUUAGCUUGUUGGUGGGGUAACGGCUCACCAAGGCGACGAUCCCUAGCUGGUCUGAGAGGAUGACCAGCCACACUGGAAGGGAGACACGGUCCAGACUCCUACGGGAGGCAGGGGUGGGGAAUAUUGCACAAUGGGCGCAAGCCUGAUGCAGCCAUGCCGCGUGUAGGAAGAGGGCCUGCGGGUUGUAAAGUACUUUCGGCGGGGAGGCUUGACCCGCAGAAGAAGCACCGGCUAGCCCCGGGCCAGCCGCCGCGGUAAUAC
rnacentral:rRNA from 1 species